UACGAGGGGGGCAAGCGUUGUUCGGAAUUACUGGGCGUAACGCGUGCGCAGGCGGCUUACUAAGACAGGUGUGAAAGCCCCGAGCUUAACUUGGGAAUGGCGCUUGUGACUGGUAGGCUGGAGUGUGGCAGAGGGAGGUGGAAUUCCACGUGUAGCAGUGAAAUGCGUAGAGAUGUGGAGGAACACCGAUGGCGAAGGCAGCCUCAUGGGCCAGCACUGACGCUCAUGCACGAAAGCGUGGGGAGCAAACAGG
rnacentral:rRNA from 1 species